rnacentral:rRNA from 1 species
AUUGAACGCUGGCGGCAGGCCUAACACAUGCAAGUCGAGCGGUAGCACAGAGAGCUUGCUCUCGGGUGACGAGCGGCGGACGGGUGAGUAAUGUCUGGGAAACUGCCUGAUGGAGGGGGAUAACUACUGGAAACGGUAGCUAAUACCGCAUAACGUCGCAAGACCAAAGAGGGGGACCUUCGGGCCUCUUGCCAUCAGAUGUGCCCAGAUGGGAUUAGCUAGUAGGUGGGGUAACGGCUCACCUAGGCGACGAUCCCUAGCUGGGCUGAGAGGAUGACCAGCCACACUGGAACGUAGACACGGUCCAGACUCCGUCGGGAGGCAGCAGUGGGGAAUAUUGCACAAUGGGCGCAAGCCUGAUGCAGCCAUGCCGCGUGUAUGAAGAAGGCCUUCGGGUUGUAAAGUACUUUCAGCGGGGAGGAAGGUGCUGAGGUUAAUAACCUCAGCAAUUGACGUUACCCGCAGAAGAAGCACCGGCUAACUCCGUGCCAGCCGCCGCCGCGG